rnacentral:rRNA from 1 species
CCUACGGGAGGCAGCAGUGGGGAAUAUUGCACAAUGGGGGGAACCCUGAUGCAGCAACGCCGCGUGGGUGAAGAAGUACUUCGGUAUGUAAAGCUCUGUCAGCAGGGAAGAAAAUGACGGUACCUGACCAAGAAGCCCCGGCUAAAUACGUGCCAGCAGCCGCGGUAAUACGUAGGGGGCAAGCGUUAUCCGGAUUUACUGGGGGUAAAGGGAGCGUAGACGGCAAGGCAAGUCUGGAGUGAAAGCCCGGGGCUCAACCACGGAACUGCUUUGGAGACUGUGUGGCUGGAGUGCAGGAGGGGUAAGCGGAAUUCCUAGUGUAGCGGUGAAAUGCGUAGAUAUUAGGAGGAACACCGGUGGCGAAGGCGGCUUACUGGACUGUAACUGACGUUGAGGCUCGAAGGCGUGGGGAGCAAACAGGAUUAGAUACCCGGGUAGUC